CCUACGGGAGGCAGCAGUAGGGAAUCAUCCGCAAUGGACGCAAGUCUGACGGUGCAACGCCGCGUGAGUGAGGAAGGUUUUCGGAUCGUAAAGCUCUGUUGUGAGGGAAGAACCCCUUCCGGAGGAAAUGCCGGGAGGCUGACGGUACCUCACCAGAAAGCCACGGCUAACUACGUGCCAGCAGCCGCGGUAAUACGUAGGUGGCAAGCGUUGUCCGGAAUUAUUGGGCGUAAAAGGCACGCAGGCGGAGCGUUAAGUCUGAUGUGAAAGGCCGGGGCUCACCCCCGGAAUGGCAUUGGAAACUGGGGCUCUUGAGUGCAGAAGAGGAGAGUGGAAUUCCACGUGUAGCGGUGAAAUGCGUAGAGAUGUGGAGGAACACCAGUGGCGAAGGCGACUCUCUGGUCUGCGACUGACGCUGAGGUGCGAAAGCGUGGGGAGCGAACAAGAUUAGAUACCUUGGUAGUCCACGCCGUAAACGCUGAGUGCUAGGUGUUAGGGGUUUCGAUACCCGUAGUGCCGAAGCAAACGCAAUAAGCACUCCGCCUGGGGAGUACGACCGCAAGGUUGAAACUCAAAUGAAUUGACGGGG
rnacentral:rRNA from 1 species